UUAAAAGUUUAAUUUUAGUUUAAAGAUUUUCUUUAUAAUUUAUUUUAUAUGUAAAUUUUAGUAUGAAUAAAAUUUAAUUUAAAUAAUUAAAUUUAGUAAUUUUUUAAUCACAGUAUAGAAUUUUAAAGAUUAAGGAGGUUUAGAUUUAGGAAUUUAUUAUAAUGUUGACAAAGUUUGUGCCAGCAGUUGCGGUUACACAAACAAUGUGAGGAAAUUUUUUUAAGAUUAGUUAAAUUAAUAAUUAAUAAUUUAAAAUUAAAUUUUUAAGGUGAAAUUUUGAAUUUAUAAAAUAAUUUAAAUUUGUUUUUGAGGCUAAUAAAUUUUUGUAAUAAACUAGGAUUAGAUACCCUAUUAUUGAAAAUGAAAUUUAAAAUCUUGAAUAAGUAUUAGUUAUGUUCUUGAAAAUUAAAAAAUUUGGCGGUAUUUUAGUCUUUUCAGAGGAACCUGUUCUAUAAUCGAUAGUCCACGAUUUAUUUAACUUAUUUUAUUAAUUUAUAUAUCGUCGUAGUUUGAAUAUUUUUUUAGAAAUUUAAUAUUCAAGAUUUAUAAUAACAAAAAAAAUCAGAUCAAGGUGUAGUUUAUAAAUAAGAAGAAAUGGGUUACAAUUUAAUAAUAAUUAGAUAAGUUUAUGAAAAUGAAUUUUAAAAGUGGAUUUGGAAGUAAUUUUAUUUUAAUUUUUUAAAAUGACUGAAGCUCUAAAAUAUGUACAUAUUGCCCGUCGCUUUUGUUUUAAAAUGAAAUAAGUCGUAACAAAGUAGAUUUACUGGAAAGUGAAUCUAGAAGA
rnacentral:ncRNA from 1 species